AGCGGCGGAUGGGUGGGUAACACGUGGGGAACCUGCCCCUAAGUCUGGGAUACCAUUUGGAAACAGGUGCUAAUACCGGAUAAUAAAGCAGAUCGCAUGAUCAGCUUUUGAAAGGCGGCGUAAGCUGUCGCUAAGGGAUGGCCCCGCGGUGCAUUAGCUAGUUGGUAAGGUAACGGCUUACCAAGGCGACGAUACAUAGCCGAGUUGAGAGACUGAUCGGCCACAUUGGGACUGAGACACGGCCCAAACUCCUACGGGAGGCAGCAGUAGGGAAUCUUCCACAAUGGACGCAAGUCUGAUGGAGCAACGCCGCGUGAGUGAAGAAGGUUUUCGGAUCGUAAAGCUCUGUUGUUGGUGAAGAAGGAUAGAGGUAGUAACUGGCCUUUAUUUGACGGUAAUCAACCAGAAAGUCACGGCUAACUACGUGCCAGCAGCCGCGGUAAUACGUAGGUGGCAAGCGUUGUCCGGAUUUAUUGGGCGUAAAGCGAGCGCAGGCGGAAAAAUAAGUCUAAUGUGAAAGCCCUCGGCUUAACCGAGGAACUGCAUCGGAAACUGUUUUUCUUGAGUGCAGAAGAGGAGAGUGGAACUCCAUGUGUAGCGGUGGAAUGCGUAGAUAUAUGGAAGAACACCAGUGGCGAAAGGCGGCUCUCUGGUCUGCAACUGACGCUGAGGCUCGAAAGCAUGGGUAGCGAACAGGGUUAGAUACCCUGGUAGUCCAUGCCGUAAACGAUGAGUGCUAAGUGU
rnacentral:rRNA from 1 species